rnacentral:rRNA from 1 species
GUAGGUGGCAAGCGUUGUCCGGAAUUAUUGGGCGUAAAGCGCGCGCAGGCGGUUCUUUAAGUCUGAUGUGAAAGCCCAUGGCUCAACCGUGGAGGGUCAUUGGAAACUGGAGAACUUGAGUACAGAAGAGGAAAGCGGAAUUCCACGUGUAGCGGUGAAAUGCGUAGAGAUGUGGAGGAACACCAGUGGCGAAGGCGGCUUUCUGGUCUGUAACUGACGCUGAGGCGCGAAAGCGUGGGGAGCAAACAGGAUUAGAUACCCUGGUAGUCCACGCCGUAAACGAUGAGUGCUAAGUGUUAGGGGGGUUUCCGCCCCCCUUAGUGCUGCAGCUAACGCAUUAAGCACUCCGCCUGGGAGUACGGCCGCAAGGCUG